rnacentral:rRNA from 1 species
UACAGAGGGUGCGAGCGUUGUCCGGAAUCACUGGGCGUAAAGGGCGCGUAGGCGGUUUGAUAAGCGUGCGGUGAAAGCCCGGGGCUCAACCCCGGGUCGGCCGUGCGAACUGUCGAGCUGGAGCACUGUAGAGGCAGGUGGAAUUCCGGGUGUAGCGGUGGAAUGCGUAGAGAUCCGGAAGAACACCGGUGGCGAAGGCGGCCUGCUGGGCAGUGGCUGACGCUGAGGCGCGACAGCGUGGGGAGCAAACAGG